GCGUUCAUACCAGCACUAAUGCACUGGAUCCCACCAGAACUCCGAAGUUAAGCUUGCUUGGGGAAGGGCAGUACUAGGAUGGGUGACCCCCUGGGAAGUCCUCGUGUUGCACCU
rnacentral:rRNA from 1 species